GGAAAAGUGGGAAAAAGCCCAGAACUUCAAAAUGCAAUCCCAUAUAAAAUAAGUUUAAGAAAAAAAGCCUUUAAAAAGUUUUUAAUACAAAAAUACUCACAUACAGUUUUCCAAACACAGCUUCCCACUUUAAAUGCUAUUCUCCCGACUGGCGGUUCCCGAGUCUACAGUUCCUUCUAGCCGCCCCGCCCCCCGCCCCCCCCCCCCCCCCCCCCCGCAGGAAGUUCAAGUUUUUAAGUCUAGCGAAACCGGUGAUAGCACCGAGUGUUCCUAUGAGGAGCCUGACCUCAUUCUGUAUGAAGCGUAGACACCAACAGGCACAUUUAAAUUCAUAUUUAAUUUCUGACAGGGCAUUUCACAUCUCAACAGGGUUCGCUGGACAGCACGACGCCUGCGACAGCAUUUCCCUCUAGUGACUAACAUCCAACACUGUGCUGCUCAGAGGAUAUCGAGAAUUUGGCAACAGUCCUUUGCGUUAACUUCCCUCAAAACAGGCUUAUCUUUAAUUCCUGGAAACCAGCAUUUCCUUCAGAUCGUAGAAUUUGAAAAUAUCAAAAGUGACUUAAAACUCACAAGAUUUUACUACUGUCAAGUACAAAAAUAAGUUAAUCUGCUCCCCAAAGUGCGCUGCAAAGCCAGUCUGAUGAUCUGACUCUGGUGGGAGAGGAGAAGCAAGGGGCGAGGCUGCACCCAAGGCCCUGGGCCAUGAAGAGCGGAGCCCGCAGGCCUCGGGCAUCCCUCCGGCCCCGAGCCGGAGCGCCAGGGCAUGGGAACGCUGCUGGGCUCGUCGUGGGAACAACCGUCCAGGUUGUUUGGGGAAGAAGGAGCAUAAAUCUGUAAACCAAUCCAGUAUUUUCUUGGGGCGAUUUGAGAGAAACGAGUUCUACGCGGAAACACCCCACAGUUCCCCGGGUCCCACUGAGCAAGUGCAUUUCCAGAGGUCACCUAAGCCACACGCAGGAGGGGUCCACUGACAACCAAGCUCUCGUGUCUCCUUCGUGGCCGCAGAUGGCUCCUUCCUCCAGGAUCACGAUAGGAGGAGGGCAGAGGACGCCUGGGCGAGACCCUGUUCAUAGCGAGCGAGGCCCCGUCGGCACCAUGGAGCCUCACACCCGAAGCAGACUCUUCCCCGUGGUCCGAGCCCGGCAGAGACCGCUGCCCCCAAGAGCUCACGUCACCAAACCACGGAGAAGAAGUUAAACGGGGGGUCCGGGUCCAAGCAUGUCCUGCAGUUGCACGAGGCAGAGGCAAUGAUGGAAGAGAAACAGGAGAGACCUCGGGAGUUUUCAACAAGGGACGUGUGUACGUCUCUGUUCUCCUUCGGUUGUUUUAAGAAGAAUGGACCAGAAACAAGCAUCUGCUGCUGAGUAUUCCGUUCCCUUCCCUCCCAUCGUCAGCAUGGAGGCUGCGGGCCCCACGGGGCGCACUUGGCUGCCUGGCGUCCGGGACCCCCGCCCUUGGUGCUCCGGACUCCCCAGGGUCAAGAGAAACUUCCAAAGAGAAGAGACCUUCGUGCUCCCAGGAGCUCCUCCCAUGGUGUGGCCAGGCCUCGUAAGGAGUAAAAGUUAGUGACGUCUCACAGAGAAGUUCCAGGCCCGACGCCCAGAGAUGGCGCCUCGGGCCCCCAGCACGAGUGCCUGGCGGUGGCGUCCUGGCUGGGCGCGUGUGACCAGCACAACUCCCGUUUUCUAUGAACAGACCCCCAGGGGUGACGGGAGACUAGCAAGUAGGUGCAACGGUCCUAGACUCUGCGUCUCUCCUCAGACCCCGAAAGAACGAUUUUCGGAAAAGCCCGAUCUCCCACGUGCUCUGGGUCCCCAGGGUGGGGAGCACCUGGCUGUGCCCUGCUGCCGGGACUGUCCCCUGCCGGGCCGCGGGCGCACAAAGCCCCGACAGAACCAUUUCUGUGAACUCGGCGCUUCACACAAACUCACCGCGGGGCCGCACCCCCACCGAGUUGGCCCCUUUCCCUGGGAGAAUUCAGGGCCGCAUCAGUAAAUACACGUUUCAGUCGGUGGUAAUUUGUGAAAACAAGUUUAGCAAAAAUAUAUUGAGAAUAAAAGCCAGAAACUGGUAAAGAAAAGCCCAAUGAAAAAAAUAUACAAAGUCUUCCCCCAAAUGUUGGUAAGAACCUAGUGCGUUCAGGGACAGGCCCAGGUGAGAUGCGCCAGACCUGGCCUGGGCCGGGGAGGCCGCUCCGAGAGGCCCCACGCUUGCAAGGCCCACGGGGUGGCGCCAUUCAGUCCAAAUCCACGACAGAAAAAACUACGGGACAGCUUACAACACUGUCACUAUCACCACUCCUGGGGCCGGCUCCUCACUAGGAUGGAAAAGAAGCAUUUUGAGGAAAAAUUUCACAUUAGUACAAAAAAACCCCAAAAUCAUACAGCUGUUUCAGAAGAGCAAAAUAAUGAUCAAAAUCAUGGUUUCCAAGGAAUCCAGGGUCUGAGUCCUUGCCCGGGCCCCGCCCUGGUCUCUACUGAGUGACGAAGGCAGGUGAGCUGGCCAAGUGACUUGGUUAAGAUCAAAGAGAUCAUAGUGAGCCUUUAGAAAAAUACUACCCUCUACAUUUCAGGUGAGAUAAAAACAUUUCAUAUGCCAAUUAAUUUUCAAUUAUAACUUUAACCUACAAAAAUAGAGUGGGAGGGAACCUUGACAUUCUCAGAAAUUCAAGUGUAGCUGUAAUGCUGUGUAGUAAGGCUUGUUUGUCCUGGAACCUUCUGAACCUCGCGGCUCAGACGGGUCAUCAGUGCAGACGCAGCGGGCGCUGCCGAGGAUGGCUCAGUGGUGGACAGGCACUCCCUCCCAGGAGGCCUACACGGCUGUCAUAGCGGCUUCGAGCUGGGUCCUCUGGGCCAGGACCCCCCCCUCCUCCCCUCCCCCCCCCCGCGGCCCUCCCCCCACCCCCCUCCCGGAGCCGGCCAAGCCACUGCCUGGCGCUAUUUGCCUUCCGUGACCCUCCGCCAGCACCUCCUUCUCUUCCUCUUCCCCUUGGACUUGCUGGGUUCCGGAAAGGGUUUCCCAGUCUGGGCGCUCCGGGCCGACACGGCCCCCAGGUCAUGCUCGCAGCAGCAUGGCCGCCCGUCCCGCGUGGAGCCGAGGGCCGCCCCGUCCUGGUGCUCCUUGCAGAAUGAGUUGGGGCAGAAGUGGCAGAAUGACGUGGAAGGUCGGCCACACACGUCACAGUGGUGCCAAGGACAUUCCCACUUCCCUGCAACGAAACACGAAACGUGAGCCGGAGCGGCGGAAGCAUCAACAACUUCUAGCGUUUGCGUGGACUGUCCGGUGAGACGAACAGAGACGACACCGCUCCUCCCCAGCUGACGUGGAGAGGAGCAGAGGCCAGGCGGGCCGGCCCGGCGGGGGACGCGGCCCACCCCCGGGCCCCGCUGGCACUCCGGCUUCUCUGUGACCUCGCCGUGGCCUGGACCGGCUUUCUACUGGGGAUUUGAUCUUUCCGGCGUUAAUCUGCACCAGCUUGCUGCUCAGUGGGGUCACCACCCCGUCACCUGCACACUUCCCUCUCGCGUCUGUCCAGAAAGUCUCGUUCUGUCAUCUUUUGCACACGAUCUGUUUUCUUUUACGAUCAAACGUGUUUGACUUCCCUUUGUAUAGAUUUUGGUUUGCAUGAGGAUCUGUUUCGCUUCUGGACAAGUUAACAUGUCACACCCUCACCCGUCAUCCCUCCAGAGCGAGGCUGUUGAGAACAAGGCGGAGCCCGCCCCGUGUCCCCCUCCCGGCCCUGCGCGUCCCAGGCUGGCUCCGGGGGCCCCCUUCCUACGACACCCAAGGCUGGGCAGAGCUCUGCGCCCGGAGCCCGGCCCCCCUCCCACGCCGGCAGCCCUGGCUCGGCAGCCACUCGCGUGACCUUGGCCCAAGCCCCGCUCCGGGUGGUCCGAGGGGCUCCACGGCCGUGCCCGCCGCAGACCCUGACUCCACGCACGGACCUCCCUGGGCCGGGCCUCGCUACCUGAGUCACCCACCGAGUCUGUGACCGGGAGAGGAGAGCCAUCGACAGGGACCCCCAAAGGCCGCCGGGGGGGCCCGCUCACCCACCGAAGGGCCGCUUGCCCAGGCCCAGGCACGACAGGUGGUAGGCCUUGGUGCAGGAUUUGCGGUCACACAGCACCAGCUGGCCGCCGUCCCCACAGCGGAAACACUCAUCCUCGGACUCCUUCUUCCCUUCGCCUCUGGUUCUCCGCCUCCUCGUUCUUUUCUUGCUCUUUUUGCCCUUUUCCUCUGAAGAAAGGGACGUCGAGGUCUAAAGUGAGAAACAAACGCGCUUUGUUUACGAGACAUGCGUGGACCAAAGCAGUAACAAAAGGAACCACAAAGAGGGAGCACAAGAGCCGUGGUGCAGGUGCGUGCAUCUCUGGGGACUCUGCAGACGCUUUCGCCUGGAGAAGACCGAGCGGGGACCAGGCGUGUGCCUCGGGGGGGUGGGGCUCAUCCCACACACACACGCCUGUUCUGCCCCACGGGUGACCACUGAGCACAGCGAGGAGGACCAGCUUUGCCAAGAGCCUCUGCAGUAGCAGCUGUCGGCGCCUCCCGAAUCUGUGGGCGGGACGCACAGGCCCGGAGCGGCCCCGCCCCCACGGGAUGCGCCCCUCGCUCUUUCCAGUAAGAACCGCACUGUGAGCGAGAGAAACAAAAUCAUGCCCUCGGCUGAAGCGGCAGACCCCCAUGGACAGCCCAACUCCGGGCCAGAUGCCCGUGAUCCCCCCGUGUUUGGGGGCCUAGGCAGGCAGGUAAGCGGGCCCCAAAUUCAUGACCUGCCCGGAAUCUCAGAACGGGAUGCUCCUUGGAAACGGUGUUGAUGCGGAUGUAAUACGUUAGGAUGAGGUGCUACUGGGGCAGGGCGGGCCCUUAACCCAGAAUGACUGGCAUCCUCACGAGGAGAGGAAGGGACACAGAGACAGGGAGAAGGCCCUGUGCAGAUCAGGGCAGAGACGGGAGUAACGCGUCCACCAGCCAAGGAACGCCAAGGCCGACUGGAAACUGCCAGAAGCCAGCAGAGCCUCCAGACAGAGCGAGGCCCGGACGGCGCUCUGGCUGCAGACUUCCGGCCGCGUGAGCCAUAGGAGCCCUGCCGCCCACACCCUGCAGGGACCCCUCCUGCCCGCCAAAGCUACCCGCCAGCCCGGAAGAAGGGACGGACAUGUCCGCAGACGUCAGAAAGGCUGGCAUCCGUGACCUUACCUUUGGUCUGUCCCCAAGGAACCCGCUGCAGUUGGAGGCCCCACACCGACAGACUGUCUUCUCGUUACCCAAACAGUCGAGGUUGUAGUUAAAGGUCAGCUCCGUCCCUAGGGGAGAAGAGACACGCGGCCACCCUGGAAACGCGUUCGUCAGGCCCACAACACACACUCCUACUCGCUCACGUCCACACCGGCGUCACGGCCUCGGGGGAGCCCGCGGAUAUGUCGUACCUGCGGGGAUGUCGCACACGGCAAACAGGCCCACGCGAGUGUCCCCGUUCACCGUCCACUUGAGCGUCUCACAGUUGGGCUGGCAGCUGUGAUUCAUGAACCGGGAGUAGUUUCCUUUGGGGCCAGCAUCAAUUAUCCGGUCCUGUAAGGUACAACUCAAGUUUCAAGUCGCAUCUAAACGCGGGGGUGACCCUUAGCCAUUAUGCCCUUCUUAAAGGGAAUUUUCACCGUCUCUCCCACUGGCCGACGAUGUUGUACUGGAAACCGUGGUCUCCUGUGUCCACUCGGACAGGACGCCCCCAAACCAGUUCUCUGUUUCUCUCACUCACGGAGGGCAGGUCAGGACCACGUGGCGAGGACCAAGCCCCAGCGAGUCCCGGUGAGGACGGGGCAGCCGGCAGGCGCUUCCCCCCACCAGCCAGCAGGUGACAGACAAGCCAGGAGGGACAGGAAGGUGUCACCACUGACAGCCGCCAGGGACUCACAUCGACGGACACAAACGACAGGACCCCGGUUCCAAAGGAGCAAAGGAUAUAACCACACGAUUCCCGAAGAUCUGACCCAGACGCGCAGGCACUUUGGGAAGGUGUCCAUACUGCCAAGCAGUGGAGGAAACGCAGGUGAAAAGGACAACGGAACCGGACGCACUCGGUGACCGCAGGAACGGGUUUGAUUAAAGCAGCCGGCGCUGGCGAAAAACCACAAAUAUGUGCACGCCGUGGCCCUGCUCUGGGGCCAAGCCCGCAACGCAGCACUCGUGCACACGCCAUCACCGUCCAGCAACGGGACGGUGCGGCUGGAGGUCCCUGCCCCGUGAGGGGGGGCAGCCGAGGUAAGAGAUGCACGGGGGAGGAGGGCACUUAAGAUCAGGCACAUACAGCACUGUGGUCACGAGUUUGUGCAAAGCUCUGUGUGAAUGGGGUGAACAAAUGUGCAAAUACACGAUCUACACCCACACCAGGUGUUCCUUUCAAUACAGAAAUGCGAUCAGAACGGGCUUGCUCUGCAGUGUGCCCUUUCCCUCCGCAUAGGGGCCUUUCACGGCCCACACAGUGUUCCUUCCCACAGCGGUGGAGGCCCUGGCCCCACAGCUUCCACGGCGUCACCGGCCCCAGGGCUCCAGGGUGCACUUCCUGGCUGAGGGCUGAGGGCCAGCAUCCCUGGGCGACCUGGUGAUCUGCAGCUCCCUCCCUAUAUGUGUGUGUGUGUGCGCGCGCACGUGUGUAUAUAUUCUGGAUACCAGACCCUUGGUAACUACGUGUCAAAUCUUUCUCCUAGGACGACACUCGAUUUUUAACUUGAUGGUACCUUUUCUCGCUCAAAACUUGCCCAGUUUUACACAACUGAUUUUGUUAAUCCUUCACUUUAUGCGUUCAGGGUCUUCGACUAGCCUCGCACAGCCUUCUCUAACCCCUAAGUUACACAAGAGACCUCCGGUGUUUCCUGGCUCCUUACAGCAUCUGGAAGAUCUCCUCUUGUGAGUGCAGUGAGGAGGCACCAUUGCCCAGAGGUCUGUCGUCUGCCGCCCCGUCACUUGCCGCUGAGACUGGGCCACACCGUUCACGGGAACGCCACAGAGCGUGAGUGAGCGCCGUUCAGUCCUGCAGGCUUCGCCGUCUGCGUGGGCUCUAGAUGGCCCAUCGACAUUUACUUUUAUAAUUUUUUUUUAACGUUUGUAUUUAUUUUUGAGAGAGAGAGACAGAGUGCUCUGCGGGUGCAGAGAGAGAGGGCGACACAGAAUCC